CCGCAACGAGCGCAACCCUUAUCCUUUGUUGCCAGCGGUUAGGCCGGGAACUCAAAGGAGACUGCCAGUGAUAAACUGGAGGAAGGUGGGGAUGACGUCAAGUCAUCAUGGCCCUUACGACCAGGGCUACACACGUGCUACAAUGGCAUAUACAAAGAGAAGCGACCUCGCGAGAGCAAGCGGACCUCAUAAAGUAUGUCGUAGUCCGGAUUGGAGUCUGCAACUCGACUCCAUGAAGUCGGAAUCGCUAGUAAUCGUAGAUCAGAAUGCUACGGUGAAUACGUUCCCGGGCCUUGUACACACCGCCCGUCACACCAUGGGAGUGGGUUGCAAAAGAAGUAGGUAGCUUAACCUUCGGGAGGGCGCUUACCACUUUGUGAUUCAUGACUGGGGUGAAGUCGUAACAAGGUAACCGUA
rnacentral:rRNA from 1 species